rnacentral:rRNA from 1 species
UACAGAGGGUGCGAGCGUUAAUCGGAAUUACUGGGCGUAAAGCGCACGUAGGUGGCGACGUAAGUCGGGUGUGAAAGCCCCGGGCUCAACCUGGGAAUUGCAUUCGAGACUGCAUUGCUGGAGUACGGAAGAGGAAGGCGGAAUUCCCGGUGUAGCGGUGAAAUGCGUAGAUAUCGGGAGGAACAUCAGUGGCGAAGGCGGCCUUCUGGUCCAGUACUGACACUGAUAAGCGAAAGCCAGGGGAGCAAACGGG